AGGGUAGGUCGGGCAACCGCGGGAGGUUAAAGCCUCCUGAGGAAAGUCCGAGCUCCACAGAGCAGGGUACUGGGUAACACCCAGUGGGGGUAACCCCAGGAAAGUGCCACAGAAAACAUACCGCCCCGAAAGGGGUAAGGGUGAAAAGGUGAGGUAAGAGCUCACCGGACGUCGGGUGACCGGCGUGCCUGGCAAACCCUACCCGGAGCAAGGCUAAAUAGGAAGGGAUGAGGUGGCUCGCUGACCUUCGGGUUAGCCGCUUGAGGGGUGGAGUAAUCCACCCCCCAGACAGAUGGUUGCCGCUCUCCGAAAGGAGAGUACAGAACUCGGCUUACAGACCUGCCCUCCUC
rnacentral:RNase_P_RNA from 1 species